GGUACGGCCAUAGUAACAAUGAAUAGCUCUGCGCUAUGGACAGAUGGAAGAUAUUUUCUUCAAGCUGAGAUGGAGUUGGAUUGCAACUGGAUUUUACAAAGACAAGGUAGGUUUCGUCUUUGUCCCUGCUGCAAAUUGUUAUGUUUAUCGUGACAAUUUCAUGACAAUUUUUUCUUAUAGUCUACAUUUGACUAUAAGUUUUGAAAAAAUAUUCAGCCUUGCCUAUCAAAUACGAAUCAACUCUGUCAUGUUUAGGUGAGAAAGGUGUUCCCUCGCAAACAGAAUGGCUUACAACGGUAGGGACACUUUAACAAUGCGUAAAAUAAUGUUUUUAAUAUAUAGUCUUGCAUUGUUAUAACAAUCGUUAAGUGGGCGUAUUUGCCCGAAACGUCAAGAUUCAAUGUUUUUUAUAUCGUUUAAACUGCAGGUACUAAAGUCUGAAGACAAAGUUGGCAUUGAUCCUUUCCUUAUUAAUAUAAG